rnacentral:rRNA from 1 species
UGCACUCUGCAACUCGGGUGCAUGAAGGUGGAAUCGCUAGUAAUCGCGGAUCAGCACGCCGCGGUGAAUACGUUCCCGGGCCUUGUACACACCGCCCGUCACACCAUGGGAGUUGGUUCGACCUUAAGCCGGUGGGCGAACCCGCAAGGGGCGCAGCCGACCACGGUCGGGUCAGCGACUGGGGUGAAGUCGUAACAAGGUAGCCGUAGGGGAACCUGCGGCUGGAUCACCUCCUUU